rnacentral:rRNA from 1 species
UUGGAGGGCAAGUCUGGUGCCAGCAGCCGCGGUAAUUCCAACUCCAAUAGCGUAUAUUAAAGUUGUUGCAGUUAAAAAGCUCGUAGUUGAAUUUCGGGGUCAGUAGGUUGGUCAUGCCACUGGUAUGUACUGGUCUCACUGAUUCCUCCUUCCUGAUGAACUGUAAUGCCAUUAAUUUGGUGUUGCAGGGAAUCUGGACUGUUACUUUGAAAAAAUUAGAGUGUUUAAAGCAGGCUAACGCCUGAAUACAUUAGCAUGGAAUAAUGAAAUAGGACGUUCGAUCCUAUUUUGUUGGUUUCUAGGAUUGACGUAAUGAUUAAUAGGGAUAGUUGGGGGCAUUAGUAUUCAAUUGUCAGAGGUGAAAUUCUUGGAUUUAUUGAAGACUAACUACUGCGAAAGCAUUUGCCAAGGAUGUUUUCAUUAAUCAAGAACGAAAGUUAGGGGAUCGAAGACGAUCAGAUACCGUCGUAGUCUUAACCAUAAACUAUGCCGACUAGGGAUCGGAUGAUGUUAAUUUUUUAAUGACUCAUUCGGCGCCUUACGGGAAAC